rnacentral:rRNA from 1 species
UUUAUGGAGAGUUUGAUCCUGGCUCAGGAUGAACGCUGGCGGCGUGCCUAAUACAUGCAAGUCGAGCGAACGGACGAGAAGCUUGCUUCUCUGAUGUUAGCGGCGGACGGGUGAGUAACACGUGGAUAACCUACCUAUAAGACUGGGAUAACUUCGGGAAACCGGAGCUAAUACCGGAUAAUAUUUUGAACCGCAUGGUUCAAAAGUGAAAGACGGUCUUGCUGUCACUUAUAGAUGGAUCCGCGCUGCAUUAGCUAGUUGGUAAGGUAACGGCUUACCAAGGCAACGAUGCAUAGCCGACCUGAGAGGGUGAUCGGCCACACUGGAACUGAGACACGGUCCAGACUCCUACGGGAGGCAGCAGUAGGGAAUCUUCCGCAAUGGGCGAAAGCCUGACGGAGCAACGCCGCGUGAGUGAUGAAGGUCUUCGGAUCGUAAAACUCUGUUAUUAGGGAAGAACAUAUGUGUAAGUAACUGUGCACAUCUUGACGGUACCUAAUCAGAAAGCCACGGCUAACUACGUGCCAGCAGCCGCGGUAAUACGUAGGUGGCAAGCGUUAUCCGGAAUUAUUGGGCGUAAAGCGCGCGUAGGCGGUUUUAAGUCUGAUGUGAAAGCCCACGGCUCAACCGUGGAGGGUCAUUGGAAACUGGAAAACUUGAGUGCAGAAGAGGAAAGUGGAAUUCCAUGUGUAGCGGUGAAAUGCGCAGAGAUAUGGAGGAACACCAGUGGCGAAGGCGACUUUCUGGUCUGUAACUGACGCUGAUGUGCGAAAGCGUGGGGAUCAAACAGGAUUAGAUACCCUGGUAGUCCACGCCGUAAACGAUGAGUGCUAAGUGUUAGGGGCCUUGAGCCCUUAGUGCUGCAGCUAACGCAUUAAGCACUCCGCCUGGGGAGUACGACCGCAAGGUUGAAACUCAAAGGAAUUGACGGGGACCCGCACAAGCGGUGGAGCAUGUGGUUUAAUUCGAAGCAACGCGAAGAACCUUACCAAAUCUUGACAUCCUUUGACAACUCUAGAGAUAGAGCCUUACUUCGGGGACAAAGUGACAGGUGGUGCAUGGUUGUCGUCAGCUCGUGUCGUGAGAUGUUGGGUUAAGUCCCGCAACGAGCGCAACCCUUAAGCUUAGUUGCCAUCAUUAAGUUGGGCACUCUAAGUUGACUGCCGGUGACAAACCGGAGGAAGGUGGGGAUGACGUCAAAUCAUCAUGCCCCUUAUGAUUUGGGCUACACACGUGCUACAAUGGACAAUACAAAGGGCAGCGAAACCGCGAGGUCAAGCAAAUCCCAUAAAGUUGUUCUCAGUUCGGAUUGUAGUCUGCAACUCGACUACAUGAAGCUGGAAUCGCUAGUAAUCGUAGAUCAGCAUGCUACGGUGAAUACGUUCCCGGGUCUUGUACACACCGCCCGUCACACCACGAGAGUUUGUAACACCCGAAGCCGGUGGAGUAACCUUUUAGGAGCUAGCCGUCGAAGGUGGGACAAAUGAUUGGGGUGAAGUCGUAACAAGGUAGCCGUAUCGGAAGGUGCGGCUGGAUCACCUCCUUUCU